CAAUAGCGUAUAUUAAAGUUGUUGCAGUUAAAAAGCUCGUAGUUGGAUUUCUGGUGGGAGCGAUCGGUCUGGCGCUUAGCGCGAGUACUUGCAUCGUCUCCGGCCACCCUUGGGGAGAGUCUGUCUGGCAUUAAGUUGUCGGGCAGAGGAUCCUCAUCGUUUACUGUGAAAAAAUUAGAGUGUUCAAAGCAGGCUUAUGCCGUUGAAUAUAUUAGCAUGGAAUAAUAAGAUAGGACUUUGGUACUAUUUUGUUGGUUUGCGCACCAAAGUAAUGAUUAAUAGGGACAGUUGGGGGUAUUCGUAUUCCGUUGUCAGAGGUGAAAUUCUUGGAUUUACGGAAGACGAACUACUGCGAAAGCAUUUACCAAGGAUGGUUUCAUUAA
rnacentral:rRNA from 1 species